AAGAGGUAAUCCCUCUUUCCCCUCGCGUCUCCUUCGUGCUAUCUACAUCUCCUCAAUCUGGGAAUUAGGGUUAAUCGAGGGAGCCAAUGAUCGCGAUCCGAUGCGCGUGGAGAUUGUGGUUUUAUUAGGAUUGGAAUUUGCGAAGCGUCGUGCUUUAAUUGGAGAGGAAAUUGGAAUUAUUAGGGUUUUUUUCCUCUUUUUGAUUGGUUGUUCUAAGAAAAGAUAUUGCGAAUUGUUUCCUUUUGGUUUGAUAAAUCGAGGGGGAAAAAAGGUUCAAUUUUGCUAGCUGGGGAAGGGUUUUUUUCUUUUUUGGGUAUUGGUUACGGAAUUCGUGGGCGUUUUGAUGCUACCAUUGUGGUGGGGCUUCGGGAAAUGGUAAAGUUCUGGCGAUUACUUUGUGGGAAAAGUGGAAUUUUGCUCUAGGAAAGUCGUUUGAACUUAUCUAAGUUGCCUUAUUUGGGAAAUUUUGUUUGUUUACGAUGGACUUGUAGCCUUUUCGGGUAAAAAGGAAGGAUCUUGCUUUGUUAUUUUGAGGGAAAGUGCUUCUUUUUCGAUAAAGAAAGGUUUCUUUGAUCGAUUUGGGUGGGAAAAGAAAUGUGAUAUCUUUAAGGAUGAAUUUUUUGGUUUUAGGGUUUCAAUUUGAGUCUUUGUGAUCCCAUCUAUAUCCAAAUCCAUCUUUUUUGAGGUCUAUAGGAAGUUAGUGUUCUAUCUUAAGGAAAUAUGGCCCUGAUUUUUACCCCCUUUGCUUACUGGCUUUGGGGAGGGAAAGAUCAAGAAAACCCUAAUUCAUCCCCUGCCUUGGCUUCCGAUUUCCCGUCGGGAUUUAGGGAUUUAGAUUCUGUGAAGUUGCCGUCGGUUAACAGGCCGAAGAUGCGGUCCUCCUCGAGAAGGAUCAAGAGGAAAUGGCAAAGCAGGGAGGAACGACGGAUCGAUCGGGAGUACGACAUAGUUUUGGUGCCCUCGGAUGGAGGGUGCAUGUCGGGGUCUGAAUCAGAUGAUUCAGAUUGGUCGAUCGGAUGGUUAGAGCCCCACGCGCCAGAAUUUCAAAGCGAGCGUGAAACAGAGAACAGCUUUGCUGUCUUAGUUCCUUGCUAUGGGCGCGGUCGGUGUGAGCAGGCCGAAAAUUCUAAAAAUCGUGCCUUGGGUGCAGGAGAUCUCGCAAAUGAGUAUCUUGCUGUAGUUGCAUGCGGUAUGAAAUAACUCUGAUGAGCAUCUUUAACUGUUUAGCCGAGGCAUCCCUAGUUGAUGCCUCGCUUUGUAUACUUGCAUUACUGGGGGCAAUGGUUGUUGAAGAUAGAACGAGCGGUCAGCCUCAGGCAAAGAGAUGAAAGCGCAAGAAUUACAUCGAACAGUGGCUUUCAUCUCUUCAGAGCUCGUAAAUGUGAUUAAUUUCUUUCAACUUGGGCUCAAAGGAUGCUUUCAUUUCCAUGACAUUGAACCGAAGCUCUUGUUACACCAAAUAUGAAAUCAUGAAAAAGAAGAAGAAAGAAAGGAUCGUGGAAAUUUUCCACCAGGAUAUCUCUCUUCUUAGCUGUGGAAUCUGUUGCAAGUAAUUAAGAUGGAGAUUCAUUUAGGAUACUAAUUCUACUUUUCGUUUUUAUUCCCCAGGACUUAUUCUAUGAUGGCCAUGUAAAUAUGCUUGUAUAUGAUUCUUCUGUAAAUACCAAUGUAAAUAUGAAGCCUACAUUGUAGUUUUCUGUCAAGUUACAUAAGAAGGCCAAACUCCAGGUUGCCUUUUGGGUUGGGUCUCUUUGAUU